AAGCCCCCUCCUCAGGACCCACAGAGGAGGCUCCGCGUUCCCGCGCAGGCGUCCUGGCCCCAGUGGGCGGAGCCAAGCCCCCUCCUCAGGACCCAGGGAGGAGGCGCCGCCAUAUUUGCAGGAACGCUUCGGGGGGACCCAGUCUCCUCCUCCGCAGGACCCGCCCGGGAGCCGCCGCUGUCUCUGCAGGGACACCUGGGGACCGUGCGCAGGAAGGACCCGUCCUCCUCCUCCGCAGGACCGACCGCGGAAGCGGUGGCUGCAGGACCCCGGAGGCUGCCUGAGGGAAGGCUUUGACCAUUUAAAAUACACUCAAUCAUCUCCUAACGAUGUGGAUGCUUUCUGAGAAAUGUGUCCUUAGGUGAUUUCAUCUUUGUGGAAACACCAUUGAGUGUCCUUAUAAAACCUGGUUGGUGUAGCCCAGUCUGCAUGUAUUUAAGGACAAACAGGAGGGGGUGUGUGUCUGCUGAGAAACCGUGAGCAAGAGCGCCUGUGCUGAGCCGUGGCACCACCAGAGUGUCCACAAACCCACCCCCAACUAACUUCCCUCUGAGGUUCCAGAAGCCGCAAGGAGCUUUAUCACCCUCAGGGCAGCACGAGGGUCGUGUCAACUUGGUGGUGGUCACUGUAGCAGGCUUUGCUGCCUUCCACCCACUGAGUCCUUCAGCCGUGGGUCAGUCAGACCGACUCCCAGUGCUUGUCCCUUGUCCCAAUGCUGCCCAACUGAACCGAGACUCACUGGAUGCUACUUCUCCACCCAAGAGCACCACCACAGCAGCCGGAGACAUACUUGUGGAUGUCUGCCUGAUGGCCCUUGGGUGCCAUGGCACCCUGAGAGGGCCCCAGCAUGGAUGCUAACUGUUUUCCACCUGCCUGGGUCCCUGCCUUGUCCAGGGACCCCCCUGAAGGGGUUUGUCUUUGAAGUCAUGGAACUCAUUCACAGCCUGAAGGCACUUCAGCUGGGAAGCCUGGGCAACAGAGUGAAACUCCAUCUCAAAAAAAAGAAAAAGAAGAGAAAGUUGGCAGGAACAGAGACAGAAGUAAAGGGCAGAGAAUGUUCAGAGAAACGGUGUCCACCACAAACGGCUCACUAGUGACCAAGCACCCUAUUACCAGCACCCAGCUCACGGCCCGGCUGCACCAGGAAUCCCGUUUGCCGGUAUUCACCCAAGCAGCACGCCCUGUAAAACCUCCCCCUGGCCCCUGCCACUUGGCAGAAAGGUCUUCCUCUUCUGUGUUGCCCGCCGCUCCCUUGCAACGUAUAUCCCCUUUUUCUCUAAUAAAUCUGCCUUUCUGAACUCAUUCCUGUCUUGGUAAAUUCUUUACCACCUGUGUGCCAGCCUCAGGCAGUUGUUGACCAGAGCAAUUCCUAUAUCCCCCCGUUGCCGGUA
rnacentral:lncRNA from 1 species